rnacentral:lncRNA from 1 species
GGAUUUCAUGGGUUAGUUUUAGUCCUGCGCCAGUGAGUGUUCAUCACAUUCCCUCCCUUCUCUCGCAGAAAUCCAACAUGGGAGGACAACAACGCCUAUGCAGCACUGGGAGAUCGGCACCAACGCUGCGAUGCCAGCAGCUGCCUUUACCCCCAAGGCAGGGAGCAGUCAGGAGAGGGGUGAGUGACCUCAGCUGCCCUCUGGGGCUCUGCGUGGCAUCGCAGCCUCACCACGGGCUGGGGGAGCACAGACUGAGCACCAGAGCUGUGCCGGGCACUCCCUGGCUCAAGGCACUUUGUCCUCACGGCCACAACCUGUUGCUUUCCACAGGCCCUGGGAACUGCUCCUCUGCAGCUCCUGUGCUGCACGAGGAACACACCGCCGCUGCUCCGACCUGAGUGAUAGCAGAACCGAAUGGGAGUGCGACAGCUGUGCUGGAGAGGGCACCGCCUCCAGCACCAGCUCAGGUCUUGCUGGCCUCGGCACCACCAGCCAGCAGGGACUGCAGCCAUCUCAGAGCUCCCUGACACCCGAGAGCAGCAGCUCCGACACCACCAGCGAGCACGGACUGCAGGCAACCGAAAGCUCUUUGACAACAGAGAGCAGCAGCUCCAUCACCACCAGCCAGGCACCAUCGGAGCCAGCUCACAGUUCCCGCUUGCCUGAGAGCAGCGGCCUGUCCAGCCAGCGCAGGCCAGAAUGGAGGAGGAGGCUCUGCUUGCGUUUACAUCGCAUUGACGACUCAUGGCAUGAGUCGCUAGGUUGCUGUGGGAGCACCCAUAAUGCUGCCCUGAUAGCCAGCCAGGGGACAGCUCGGUCCUCGAGGCGCUGCCCUGCACUGCGAUACAACCUCAGGUGCAGGCAGGGACAGCGGGCCCGGACAAGAAGCCGCUCUCCAUUGCGGCACUGGGCCCCAGAAUCUCUGAGCCGGCCCCAGAGACACCUUGGGAGCAGGCAGACAGCAAGCCCAGGUGCUCAGAGCUGCAGCUACACCACACCGGCAGCACCAGGGUCCUCCAGGGCUUCCAGAACAGCUUACAGAUGCCCAUUCAGACAUCCAGCACGGGCCUGGACUCGAAGACGCUUGCCUCUCAAUCGUCGGGCUGCGGAGACCGACAGCCGGCCCCGAAGACGCCGCACGAGCCGGUCCAGGCGGCGAGGGCCAGAGCAGGGCCAGAGCUGCUCCCGGGUACCACGUCGGGCCCGGCACAUCACCAGCCGGCCCUGCUGAUGCCGCGGGAGUAUUAUUUAUAUAGUUUAUUUUAUGAUAUUAUAUAAUAUUAUUUAUUUAUAUAUAUGUUUAUUAUAUAUAUUUAUUAUAUCCCCUAAUAAAUUUCCCCACCCUAUUUCUGUGUCUCGUUUG